rnacentral:ncRNA from 2 species
CAACGGGAAAGAGCGCAUGGACUUGUUAGUCUGAUAGUCUGAUAGUCUGAUAGUUGGAUAGUCAGGCGAACAAGUUGACGAGGAUGAGGGUUCUGCGGCGCGAGCCGCGGCUAACUGCCUGCCUCUCCCUCUCCUUUCAGGAGAGGGCCGGGGUGAGGUCAGGAAAAUCGAACGAUCAGCGGAUGCCCUCCGGGACUGCCAGCCCCGACUCCUUUCCCUCCAGUGCAAAAUCCCUGCAACCAAUGCCGCGCGGGCAACCGCGCGGACAAAAACGCAGGGAAUGGCGAGAC